rnacentral:rRNA from 1 species
UGAACGCUGGCGGCGUGCCUAAUACAUGCAAGUCGAGCGAACGGACGAGAAGCUUGCUUCUCUGAUGUUAGCGGCGGACGGGUGAGUAACACGUGGAUAACCUACCUAUAAGACUGGGAUAACUUCGGGAAACCGGAGCUAAUACCGGAUAAUAUUUUGAACCGCAUGGUUCAAAAGUGAAAGACGGUCUUGCUGUCACUUAUAGAUGGAUCCGCGCUGCAUUAGCUAGUUGGUAAGGUAACGGCUUACCAAGGCAACGAUGCAUAGCCGACCUGAGAGGGUGAUCGGCCACACUGGAACUGAGACACGGUCCAGACUCCUACGGGAGGCAGCAGUAGGGAAUCUUCCGCAAUGGGCGAAAGCCUGACGGAGCAACGCCGCGUGAGUGAUGAAGGUCUUCGGAUCGUAAAACUCUGUUAUUAGGGAAGAACAUAUGUGUAAGUAACUGUGCACAUCUUGACGGUACCUAAUCAGAAAGCCAUGGCUAACUACGUGCCAGCAGCCGCGGUAAUACGUAGGUGGCAAGCGUUAUCCGGAAUUAUUGGGCGUAAAGCGCGCGUAGGCGGUUUUUUAAGUCUGAUGUGAAAGCCCACGGCUCAACCGUGGAGGGUCAUUGGAAACUGGAAAACUUGAGUGCAGAAGAGGAAAGUGGAAUUCCAUGUGUAGCGGUGAAAUGCGCAGAGAUAUGGAGGAACACCAGUGGCGAAGGCGACUUUCUGGUCUGUAACUGACGCUGAUGUGCGAAAGCGUGGGGAUCAAACAGGAUUAGAUACCCUGGUAGUCCACGCCGUAAACGAUGAGUGCUAAGUGUUAGGGGGUUUCCGCCCCUUAGUGCUGCAGCUAACGCAUUAAGCACUCCGCCU